GACGAACGCUGGCGGCGUGCUUAACACAUGCAAGUCGAACGGAAAGGCCCUGCUUGUUUGGUGUGCUCGAGUGGCGAACGGGUGAGUAACACGUGAGUAACCUGCCCUUGACUUUGGGAUAACUUCAGGAAACUGGGGCUAAUACCGGAUAGGAGCUCCUGCUGCAUGGUGGGGGUUGGAAAGUUUCGGCGGUUGGGGAUGGACUCGCGGCUGAUCAGCUUGUUGGUUGGGUAGUGGCUUACCAAGGCUUGGACGGGUAGCCAGCCUGAGAGGGUGAACGGCCACCAUGGGCCUGAGAGAGGGAGCAGAGUCCUACGGGGGGCAGUAGUCGGGAAUAUUGUCCAACGGGAGGAAGCCUGAUGAAGAAACGCCGGGUGUGUGAUGACGGCCUUCGGGUUGUAAACCGCUUUAGCCUGUGACGAAGCGUGAGUGACGGUAAUGGGUAAAGAAGCACCGGCUAACUACGUG
rnacentral:rRNA from 1 species